rnacentral:pre_miRNA from 1 species
UGAUGAUGAUGAAGAGGAGGAUGAUGAUGAUGAGAUGAUGAUGAUAAUCAUCAUCAUCAUCACCAUCACCAUCAUCAUCAUCAUCAUCAUCAUCA